GACACCGUAGCCAAGUGGUUACGGCGACAGAUUAGAAUUGCUUUGGCUUCUAGACAUCUGUUCCUCUUUGAGGGCGCAGGUUCGAAUCCUGCCGGUGUCG